CUACGAUCAGAUUUUCUUUUUCUUCAGCUUUAUUGAUUGUCUACAUAUUAAUCUGUUGAUGUUUUGUAACAUUUUACAGCUGUAGAAGAUCAUGUACCAAUGAAAAGAUUCUAAAAAUGAAAAUGAUUUAUUCAGUAACCUACCAACCGUUGGGAGAACGACGCGGUCGCCGGGGAACGUACAUGCUCCUUGCAAUCAGCGGUCGGAGUUGAACCCGUGUUGGUUGUGUAGUAAAGAAGCUGUGAAAACCACCGAUUCUCACAGAUAGGGUUAAAGCGUCAGUACGUGGGCAGCGGCGGAAUUAUCCGUUUUGUCUUUGUCGACCUGUUCAGUGGAAAUUCAGUGUCAUCGCACCACUCCACACUGGAAUGCUCCACACCUUCAUUCACGUGUUUGAUUAAUCGUUUGUCUUUCUGGGAAUGUCUGUUUCUGCAUAUCGUAUCUGUGUGGGUGAAGUUUUCCUGA